AGAUUUUGAUCCUGGCUCAGGAUGAACGCUAGCGGCAGGCUUAACACAUGCAAGUCGAAGGGCAGCGAGGGGAGUGCUUGCACUCCCUGUCGGCGACUGGCGCACGGGUGAGUAACACGUAUGCAACCUGCCCUCCACAGGGGGACAACCUUCCGAAAGGGAGGCUAAUCCCGCGUAAAUCCCGCGGAGGCAUCUCCGUGGGAGGAAAACUCCGGUGGUGGAGGAUGGGCAUGCGGCGCAUUAGGCAGUCGGCGGGGUAACGGCCCACCGAACCGACGAUGCGUAGGGGUUCUGAGAGGAAGGUCCCCCACACUGGUACUGAGACACGGACCAGACUCCUACGGGAGGCAGCAGUGAGGAAUAUUGGUCAAUGGACGCGAGUCUGAACCAGCCAAGUCGCGUGAGGGAUGACGGCCCUACGGGUUGUAAACCUCUUUUGCCGGGGAGCAAAGAGCGGGACGCGUCCCGCCUCGAGAGUACCCGGAGAAAAAGCAUCGGCUAACUCCGUGCCAGCAGCCGCGGUAAUACGGAGGAUGCGAGCGUUAUCCGGAUUUAUUGGGUUUAAAGGGUGCGCAGGCGGAAGCGCAAGUCAGCGGUAAAAUUGAGAGGCUCAACCUCUUCCCGCCGUUGAAACUGCGUUUCUUGAGUGGGCGAGAAGUACGCGGAAUGCGUGGUGUAGCGGUGAAAUGCAUAGAUAUUACGCAGAACUCCGAUUGCGAAGGCAGCGUACCGGCGCCCAACUGACGCUCAUGCACGAAAGCGUGGGUAUCGAACAGGAUUAGAUACCCUGGUAGUCCACGCAGUAAACGAUGAAUACUCGCUGUCCGGGGAGAUUGGUCUCUGGGCGGCCAAGCGAAAGCGUUAAGUAUUCCACCUGGGGAGUACGCCGGCAACGGUGAAACUCAAAGGAAUUGACGGGGGCCCGCACAAGCGGUGGAACAUGUGGUUUAAUUCGAUGAUACGCGAGGAACCUUACCCGGGCUCAAACGACGGAUGAAUACUUUUGAAAGGAGGUAGUCCUUCGGGACAUCCGUCGAGGUGCUGCAUGGUUGUCGUCAGCUCGUGCCGUGUGGUGUCGGCUUAAGUGCCAUAACGAGCGCAACCCCCAUCGCCAGUUGCCAACAGGUAAAGCUGGGAACUCUGGCGAGACUGCCGGCGCAAGCUGUGAGGAAGGCGGGGAUGACGUCAAAUCAGCACGGCCCUUACAUCCGGGGCGACACACGUGUUACAAUGGCAGGUACAGAGAGAUGCGACACGGCGACGUGGAGCGGAACUGUCAAAACCUGUCUCAGUUCGGAUCGGAGUCUGCAACCCGACUCCGUGAAGCUGGAUUCGCUAGUAAUCGCGCAUCAGCCAUGGCGCGGUGAAUACGUUCCCGGGCCUUGCACACACCGCCCGUCAAG
rnacentral:rRNA from 1 species